rnacentral:rRNA from 1 species
UACGAGGGGGGGCAAGCGUUGUUCGGAAUUAUUGGGCGUAAAGGGUGCGUAGGUGGUUCGGCAAGUCUUGUGUGAAAUCUUCAGGCUCAAACUUGAAGUCUGCACAAGAAACUGCCGGGCUUGAGUAUGGGAGAGGUGAGUGGAAUUUCCGGUGUAGCGGUGAAAUGCGUAGAUAUCGGGAAGGAACACCUGUGGCGAAAGCGGCUCACUGGACCAUUACUGACACUGAGGCACGAAAGCUAGGGGAGCAAACAGG